GGGUGCGAUCAUACCAGCGUUAAUUCACCCAAUCCCAUCAGAACUCCGAAGUUAAGCGGGCUUGGGGUAGAGUAGUACUGGGAUGGGUGACCUCCCGAGAAGUCCUAGUGUUUCACCCU
rnacentral:rRNA from 1 species